AUCGCGCGCAGUGGCGCCUCCCGGGCCGGGAGCGGCGGAGGCGGGGAGAGGCCGGCCUCAGACUGCGCGGCUCUCCUGACACCGCAGGGUUUCGGCACUUAAAGUUCCCGGGGAAAGUCAAGCCCGUCGGAGACAGACACUAGGGGACCAGCCGCAGCCCCUAAUGCCACGACCAUCAGCAGACACGUCGCCCGAUCCCCAGCUCGCGCUCAGAUUCGCUGCUUUCAAAGAUGCCAUCUCAGACAUCGUCGUAACUUUCUGAAGGGCUGAACUCGUCUCGCCAUGUGUUUGAUGACGAUGCCUUUGGUUUCUGGCCCCCGCCAGCGAUCGUGCUUGGUUUCCCUUCAGGCCGAUGGCUUACUGAGGAAAUGGGAUGCUUACCUUGUCACGGGAGCGCCUUAGAUUCGGCCCGCUGUGCUGCUAUGGACCUGGUCCUCUAUCCUGCUUUAAUUGGUUUAUUCGCCCUGUUUCGUGAAAGUGUAUGGUUAUGCCUAGAGGCUGAGUUCUGAUGACUUUUUGUUUUUGUUUUUGUUUUUAUUUAGUGAUGGGGAGUAUGCGAUGUGCACAUGUGACUAAUGAAGUGUGUCGGAGUCAGCAUCCCGACACCUCCAUUUUAAAGCUUUUGCAAACCUUCCACCUAAUGGUUAUAGACGCUGUAGGCAAUAAGGGACCAGCCAAAGAAAUACACCCUGAGCAGGGCCCAAGAAACACACUCUGGCCCUGUAACCUGAGUCAAACAAAUGCCCCCUGAUCCUGAAACGUGCCAAAGAAACACACUUUGGCCCUAAAAAUCAGACUCAGUGAAAGAAAUACACCCUGGCCCAAAAUUAGAGCCAAAAGACCUAAAAGGUCCAGAGAAAGAAAUACACUUUGACCCUAAAAUCAGAGCCAAAUCUGACCUGGAAUCUGAGCAGAAAACCAACCAAUCCCUGACUAUGAAAUCUAACCAGUCUAAACUCAGAGAUUGAAAUCUGACCAAUCCCCAUCCUGGAAAUCUUCUCCCUGGAAAAACUUCGCCCCUAAGAAGUCCUAUAGAAACUGCUGUGCCUGUUCAACUUGUGGCUUCCGGCUGUCCUGUCCUGGAUUCUUCCCUCCCAAAUGAGGUUUGUGUGAGACCUUCCUUGACUGGAAUGGAGUGGAGGAGAGAAGAGCAGAGAAGUAACUACUUUUCACCUGAGCCAGAGCAGAAAGGAGCAUAGCAGGGCUGUAACACUUUCGCCAGGGAAACCUUCCCCUAGCAAAGCGGAGAUAGCUGAAGUGUAACAACUUCACUGGGGAAGCCCUCACCUGCUGGAGCAGAGCUGUUACACACUGGGGGAAGCCUUUCGCUGGAGCAGGGCUGUAAAGCUGCUAAACUUACUGUGACCUGUGGUAUUCUUUGACUCCCAAGUGGCCCUGAAUCCCUGUCCACCUGAGCUGCGGCAAUGCUUACAGACACCAAUGAACAUUUGUCAGGUAGAAAGCCUAGUGGUGUGCUUGCAUUUAACUCUUGGUUCAUGAGUUAGUAGGGAUGGUGUCUGGGAGCCAACUUCUGUGCUUCCUGCUAGAGGAUUAAGAGAAAGACAAGGCAAAGAAAUGGAAACUAGGAGCAUUGAUUCUGAGUUUCUGGGUCAUCGGAUUCCUUAUCCAGGUGUUUUGCAAGGUGCAGUUCCUUGAGCUAACAGAUUACCUUCCUCAGGCGAGAUUGGAGUUGUGUCUCCUCACCAACUCCAUUCUGUAGGCUCGCAAUGCUAGUUCUGAGUCUUGGUCUCUAGGGCUGCUGCUCCACAGCACUUAGAAAUUGGUAGGAUUCAGCAGAGAAGCAGAAGCGGCCUUUCAUUCUCUCCCUACUCCAUUGGAAUGAAUCUUGCCUGAAUGCCUUCUACACAUUGUUUUCAGUCAGUCUAUACAUUUAUUGAAAGACUCGCCCAUUAAGCGAAUCUGCCAGGGUUAUUCAAACUUAACAUCUCAGAUUUCCAUUGCGCAACUGCCCUUGUUUUGUGUUUUCGCGGGUUCUUGACUGGGUAAUGUAGUCUUUUUCUACUCCUCUUUCCCCACCCUGCCCUCCUUCCAUCUACACUGCACACAUUACUAACAGCAGGUUUACUCGAUUCACCUCAUGCUUUUGUUAUUCUAUAUUAUGCUCGUGUCUUACUCUACCCGUUUGCAACAUUCAGACACUUUUGGCUCCUGUUAAACUCAAAAUAUAUUUAAGACCCCACAGUAACAUUUUAAUUUUAAAAACCCUGUUCUUUCACCCCUGAUUACUUAAGUAUAUGUGAACCGCCAAUCUUUUUUGGGGGAGAUACUGUUUUGUUUUGUUUUUUUAUCACAUCUUUUAAGAGGCAUUUAGGAAAGUGAUGCAGUAGGCAUUUUUUAAAGUAAUUGUAUCUUAAGAUUUGCUUUUGUGAGACUAGUAAGUGUAAUAGGCAUGAUUAACAACUUAGCUUUAGCAGACAUUUAUUUGAAGGAUUGUCUCAGAUUAGAUUUUUUAAAUAAGGAAAAAUUAUAUUUGCAUUCUGGAACAUUUGAACUCUAUUGUUAGUAAGUAUUAUUGUUAUAAUAAUCCUAAUUGUUAACAUUAACAGUAAUCCUGUUUUAUUUAAAAAAACAGCUACUUAAAACUACUUAGCUUAGUGGGUAAUUUAAUCAAACUGUGGUACAUCUUAUAAUCAAUGACAUUUUAGAUCUAAUGAGAUGUGUUUUUUCAGUGAGGGAAAACAGACUGUAAGUUCACUGAACAAUAUUGGCACUGAUCCUAUCGGUGUUUAAGGCCAAGUCAUUUCUUUUUCCUUUAUACCUCUGAGUAUCACUAAGUCAAUACAUUCUUCAGUCGGUUACGAAGAGGGAAAAGACUUUGAGCCUAUCAUUUUAUAACCAUACUUCUGAGUUGUCAUUCAACCAUGACAGGAUAGUACACACUGAUCAGUACAAAUUCAACUUGGCUGUUUUUCUUUUUAUUCACAGAAAAGGGACAUUUUGAGAUUUGACACUCUUUAAAAACAAUAACAGCAAAAAAUCUAACAUCCACCACAAAUUAUUUCCUGUUCAGGAAUUUUGCUUUCAUUUAAAAGAGAAGGAAUUCAACCCAAAUCCUCACAUCCUCUUUAGCAGGAAGAGUUGAGUCACUUGAAACCACCACACCUAUGACAUGCUUCAUCUCCUAUGAAAUUGAUGAGCUCAAGCUGGAAGACUGAGGUGCUCAGCCUGGUUUCCAGGUUGCAACCAUAAGAACUUUCAAAACACCAGUGCGGGAGCCAGCCUGUGGGAGUUCUGACUUAGUUGUCCCCGUGGGGCUUGAGUUUCUGAGGUCUUUUUGUGUGGUUGGAGUUUCCUCCUUCUUUCUCAGCUUUGCAUUUGUUAUCUUCCUUUUCCUCGCUUCUUUCUUUCCAUCAAUUGUACUGUGUAGCAGGUGGAACUUGUCUUGAAUUCUCCACCAAGCCCAUUACUCUGCCUUUCUGCAUCCCCCCUACCCCUGCCAUAUUUAUGGCCAUAUUUGGGAAGAAUGCAGUGGUCCUGCAGGAUUCCUGGAAACAACUAUAGCCUUUUUAAACGUGUGCCAGAUUACUUAAUUUCUGGUAUCGAAGUCCAUAAACUGAAACAUACUGGAGAACCACUUCCCAAACUUUGCUAGUAAUAGACUCCUUGAUUUAAUUUCUGACAGCUUCCAGAGGUUUGAUCUAUUCUUGCCAUUCAAAGAAUGACCCAGAACAUCUCCCAGAUGCUGGCCUGGCCUUCAGUUGAUCUCUCUGUAAGAAGAUGUUUUUGCUUCUGCUUGCACCUUCAUCUCAACAUUCCUUUAUUCUACAUCAUUUAAAAAUUUCUACUUUGAAUUGGCUGUAACACCCAUCAUGCAUCUUUUUUGACUAAUAAAUUACAUAAAACCUCUGGUA